CUUGAACGCUGGCGGCAUGCCUUACACAUGCAAGUCGAACGGUAACAGGUCUUCGGAUGCUGACGAGUGGCGAACGGGUGAGUAAUGCAUCGGAACGUGCCCAGUAGUGGGGGAUAGCCCGGCGAAAGCCGGAUUAAUACCGCAUACGACCUGAGGGUGAAAGGGGGGGAUCGCAAGACCUCUCGCUAUUGGAGCGGCCGAUGUCAGAUUAGCUAGUUGGUAGGGUAAAGGCCUACCAAGGCAACGAUCUGUAGUUGGUCUGAGAGGACGACCAGCCACACUGGGACUGAGACACGGCCCAGACUCCUACGGGAGGCAGCAGUGGGGAAUUUUGGACAAUGGGCGCAAGCCUGAUCCAGCAAUGCCGCGUGCAGGAAGAAGGCCUUCGGGUUGUAAACUGCUUUUGUCAGGGAAGAAAUCUUCUGGGUUAAUACCUCGGGAGGAUGACGGUACCUGAAGAAUAAGCACCGGCUAACUACGUGCCAGCCGCCGCGGUAAUAC
rnacentral:rRNA from 1 species